GGCCUAUCCUCCGUUCCGGUAGGGCGGUAGCCAGCCUCGCCGACGUGAACAACCGCCGCGCUCGGAGACACCAGGCGUGCAUCAGCCAAUGAAUCAUUUGAUGAUGGAGUAGUCACUUGAGCAUUCAAUAAAACACUUGAUGUUGUAGGAGUCGCUUGAGCAUUCAACAAUCGUUCUUUCACAUGAUUGCUCUUUCAAAAUGCUGGAAGAAUAGGACAAUAUCCAAAUCUGACUUCAAAUGAUGCUUCAAGUCAUUAUUGAGACUCUCACUUAGUUGUGUGCUCCUCAUACCCAAGGAACAAGAAACUGUGAGAAGAGGAGAAGGAAAAAGUGUGGUAGCAGCAAAAUAAGUGAUCCUAUCAUGGCGCCAAACUGAGCAAAGGCAGUGGUCCUAUUUUGGCGCCAAACUGGGCAGCUGCACCGCAUGUUCCCUCCAAAACAGAGCAGCAGCAGCAGCACGAAGUAGUACUAAGACUAGGAGAGACUUGUUAGGCUCCUGACUUGGUAAAAGCAUAGUCAGAUGAGGCGGCUCCAUGUGAUGGCGGCCUCAGAGGAAGGGGAGGGGAUUGGAGCGGACGCAGCUCGCACCGUUGGACUGGCUCUCAGCGGUUCCAAAUCCAGCACCCACGUCCUCCAGUGGGGUACCGAAAGGAACCUGCAGCAGCUCCAGCAGCGAAGUAUUUUUAGAUGGAACAUCCUCGAUAUCAGGUAAAGCGUCCCCAGCUGUCAAGCUAACACCAAAUUCUUUCUCACGUGAAGUGUUGCUCUCUUCUUGUGCAUCAUCAAUGUGCAACAUAUUCCUUCUCAUUUCUCACUCCUGCUGAAGAUGGAAACUGAAACAAGGUUGCAUGAAGACAAUAGCUUAUUAUUGUAGUAUUAGUACUACUUUGGAUUAGAAGUUAAAUUUUAGAUGCAGAGAUAAGCUGGACCUCCUUAAUUAUUUCCCCUUUUCAUUAUCUGAAUGUUACUUGUUCCUUUGUCUCGUCGGAUUUGAAUGACAACGGUUCAGGACAGGGUCUUUCUGGUUUUCUAAGCCUACCAUGCUCUACUUGGCAUCAGAGAACCUCGAAAAUAGUUCGUCUGCUGAACGUCGCCUCUCAUUCACUCGCCUACCACGCUCGGA